CCAUGGUCUUCCAAAUAAAAUAUGUCCUUGAGAGUGCCAUCACCCAUGGUCUCACAACUCAGCUUCUUAGUUUCCAAAUCUUCAACAUCUCCAUACCCACCUAUUAGAGACUUACCUUCUAAAUAUAACAUUACUAUGAUGUUGACUGCCCUUGAUAAAGCCUUCUUAAUGAAAAUCACAGAGCUUGAAACGGACGCUUGGGACAACCUUGAUAAUUAGAUGCAAGAUCUGGAAUAAUUUACUGAAGAUCAAAAAACACAACUUUUGUCUUUUGAGACACAUGUGAGUACUAACACUCUACAGAUUUCCCUAUUAUACCGUUACUUAGACAGAAUUGAAAAUAGGGGCAGACAAAAUAAUAAACUAGUGAAGGGUGUUCCCAAACACUGAGAAAAAAUUUAAAAUAUGAUCCCGACACUGACCCAUUUAUUUAAC